GAUGAACGCUGGCGGCGUGCUUAACACAUGCAAGUCGAACGGUGACGACGUGGCUUCUGUCGGGUUGGAUGGGCGGCGGACGGGUGGGUAACAAGUGCGUAACCUGCCCGCUUUUCUGGGAUAACGACCGGGGACGGGUGCUGAUACUGGAUAUUCACUGAUCUUUGCAUGGGGGCGGGUGGAAAGGAUUGUUCUGGUGGGGGAUGGGCUCGCGGCGUAUCAGCUUGUUGGUGGGGUGAUGGCCUACCAAGGCUGUGACGGGUAGCAGGCCUGAGAGGGUGACCGGUCACAUGAGCACUGAGACACGCCCCAGACCCAUGCGGGAGGGAGGAGUGGAGAAUAUGGCACAAUGGGCGAAACCCAGACGCCGCGGCGGCGCGUGAGGGAUGGAGGCCUUCGGUUUGUAAACGUCUUUAUCCGAGGGUCAAGCCGCAACUGUGGGUUGUGUUGAGGGUACUGGAUGAAUAAGCACCGGCUAACUACGUG
rnacentral:rRNA from 1 species